UACGGAGGGUGCAAGCGUUAUCCGGAUUCACUGGGUUUAAAGGGAGCGUAGGCGGAACGAUAAGUCAGUGGUGAAAGCCCCGAGCUCAACUUGGGAAUUGCCAUUGAUACUGUUGUUCUUGAGUUCGGUUGAGGUAGGCGGAAUGUUGCAUGUAGCGGUGAAAUGCUUAGAUAUGCAACAGAACACCGAUUGCGAAGGCAGCUUACCAAGCCGACACUGACGCUGAGGCUCGAAAGCGUGGGGAUCAAAC
rnacentral:rRNA from 1 species